CCCUAAUCCGUUCCUUUCUUCUUCUCUCGCGCCCGAUGCCGGCGAUUUCUUCUUCCCGAACGCCGGCAGCUGAUUCCUUGCCGGAGCCCUAGCACCGCCGCCCGACCGCCUGCCCUAGCCACCCAACGCCGCCGACGCCCUUUUCUCGAUUCCUCCUCUGGUCCGACGAGCCAUCGCCGAACACCCUCGCUCUUGGCCUCUUUUCUGCCCAUUGACGCCGGCCAUCUCCUCACUUCUUCUCUGUCUCGGUGCCCUAGCCGCCGGCGACAACCCCGAUCAUCUUCCUCUCUGCCCACUGACGCCGGCCGUUCGUCCUCAGCAAAGCAGCGCCACACACCGCUGAGAGCCGACUCUCCUCUGUGCCCUAGGUUCUUUGCCGGCACGGUUUUGCUAGGAUCGUGAAGUCACAGAUUGUAUGAAGCUUCCGGCUGUGUGGAAGUUGCUGCCAUCGCCAACCUAGGGUUUCCGACGACAAGAUUUGGGUGGAUUUCUAGCAGCUACUAAAUUUCAGCGGCUGCCCUACCUGGCUGAGGAUCGACGGGAGAAGUUUUGUGUGAAUUGUUAGCUGAUCAUAGAGGAAUUCUGUCAUUGUUGAUUUCUGCAGCAGCAACUCCUAGUUCCGGUCAUUAUCGCCCCAAGGAUUUUGACACGAGACGAGCAUCUCGGUUAUCGGAUUGGACUUUCUAUUAUCGGAGGCGGGUACUUUUGACUUAUUGUCUUUGAUAUGCUUAGUAAUUAAAUUAACAAGAUGCAUUAAUUGUGUUUCUUACUUGUUUCGGUUA